GGGAACCUCACCCGGCCCGGACACUGCGAGGAUUGACAGACUGAGAGCUCUUUCUCGAUUCGGUGGGUGGUGGUGCAUGGCCGUUCUUAGUUGGUGGAGCGAUCUGUCUGGUUAAUUCCGAUAACGAACGAGACCCCAACCUGCUAACUAGCCCUCGGGUCCUGCUUCUGUUGGGCCCGACGGAAUGAUUCGCUUCUUAGAGGGACUCGCGGCGCCUAGCCGCACGAAGGGGGGCGAUAA
rnacentral:rRNA from 1 species